UACAACCACUGUUCGCCAGAAUACUACAAGCAAAACGCUUGAAACUCAAAGGACUUGGUGGUGUCCCACAUCAUCCUAGAGGAGCCUGUCCUAUAAUCGAUACUCCACGCUAAACCUUACCAUCUUUGGCCACUCCAGCCUAUAUACCGCCGUCGCCAGCCUACCCCAUGAGGGCCUUAUAGUAGGCGAAAUUGUUCCACACAAAAACGUCAGGUCAAGGUGUAGCUUAUAAGACGGAAGAGAUGGGCUACAUUUUCCAAAUUAGAAAACACGAAUAAUGUAAUGAAACCAUACAUUAGAAGGAGGAUUUAGUAGUAAAAUUUGAAGAAAAAUCAUUUUAAACACGCUCUGGGACGCGCACACACCGCCCGUCACCCUCAUCAACUUAAAUCACACCAACUAACAUAUAACUUAACCAAACUACAAGAUGAGGUAAGUCGUAACAUGGUAAGCGUACUGGAAAGUGUGCUUGGACUAACAAAAAGUAGCUUAAAACUUAAAGCAUUCAGCUUACAAUUGAAAAAUGUUACUAUCAACCUUUUUGAGCCCAUUCACAAGCCCUGCCAUACCCACCACCAAACCAAUCCAACAAAACAAACCAUUUGACAAGGACAGUAUCUGAGAAAGAAC
rnacentral:rRNA from 1 species